rnacentral:rRNA from 1 species
GACGAACGCUGGCGGCGUGCUUAACACAUGCAAGUCGAACGGAAAGGCCCUGCUUUUGCGGGGUGCUCGAGUGGCGAACGGGUGAGUAACCCGUGAGUAACCUGCCCUUGACUUUGUGAUAACUUCAGGAAACUGGGGCUAAUACCGGAUAGGAGCUCCUGCUGCAUGGUGGGGGUUGGAAAGUUUCGGCGGUUGUGGAUCGACUCGCGGGUUAUCAGCUUGUUGGUGGGGUAGUGGCUUACCCGGGCUUUGACGGAUAGCCGGCCUGAGAGGGUGGCCGGCCACAAGGGGACUGAGAUACGGCGCAGACGCCUACGGGAGGCAGCAGUGGGGAAUAUUGCACAAUGGGCGGAAGCGUGAGGCAGCAACGCCGCGUGCGGGAUGACGGCCUUCGGGUUGUAAACCGCUUUCGCCUGUGACGAAGCGUGAGUGACGGUAAUGGGUAAAGAAGCACCGGCUAACUACGUG